CUUUACUGUAGCUUGGAAUUGAAUUUGGGUUUAUUUUGCGCAGUAUAGGUGGGAGGCUAAGAUAAUAAGCUCGAGGGUUUAUUGGAGCCAGUAGUGAGAUACCACUCUAAAUAAACUAGAAUUCUAACCUUGACAGUCGUUAACCGGCCAAGGAACAGUUUCAGGUGGGCAGUUUGACUGGGGCGGUCGCCUCCUAAAAGGUAACGGAGGCGUGCAAAGGUUCCCUCAGGCUGGUCGGAAAUCAGUCGUAGAGUAUAAAGGCAUAAGGGAGCUUGACUGCAAGACCUACAAGUCGAGCAGAGACGAAAGUCGGCCUUAGUG
rnacentral:rRNA from 1 species